rnacentral:rRNA from 1 species
UUCCGUAGGGUGAACCUGCGGAAGGAUCAUUACCUAGAGUUUGUGGGCUUUGCCCGCUACCUCUUACCCAUGUCUUUUGAGUACUUACGUUUCCUCGGCGGGUCCGCCCGCCGAUUGGACAAAAUCAAACCCUUUGCAGUUGCAAUCAGCGUCUGAAAAACAUAAUAGUUACAACUUUCAACAACGGAUCUCUUGGUUCUGGCAUCGAUGAAGAACGCAGCGAAAUGCGAUAAGUAGUGUGAAUUGCAGAAUUCAGUGAAUCAUCGAAUCUUUGAACGCACAUUGCGCCCCUUGGUAUUCCAUGGGGCAUGCCUGUUCGAGCGUCAUUUGUACCUUCAAGCUUUGCUUGGUGUUGGGUGUUUGUCUCGCCUCUGCGUGUAGACUCGCCUUAAAACAAUUGGCAGCCGGCGUAUUGAUUUCGGAGCGCAGUACAUCUCGCGCUUUGCACUCAUAACGACGACGUCCAAAAGUACAUUUUUACACUCUUGACCUCGGAUCAGGUAGGGAUACCCGCUGAACUUAAGCAUAUCAAUAAGCGGAGG